rnacentral:lncRNA from 1 species
CUCCUGCCCACAGUUGAGUUCGGCCCCGAGCGGAGCAGUCGGGCCCGGCCCGGUCGCGCCGCCGCGGUUCCUCCGCGCCCCGCUCCGAGCGCCGCCGCCCCCGCUCCGCGGGGAGCGAACAUGCGACUCCGGCUCCCCGAGGAGGCCGCCGCCGCCGGCGAGUGAGGAGCCGCCGCCCCGGCCGGCCCGGCCCCGCCGCCCGCCCGCCCCGGCCGCAGCCGCCCCGCUUCGCCCAGGCAAUGACAGCGGCUCCGGCCCCCUCCCCGCAGCAGAUCAGGGACCGGCUGCUGCAGGCCAUCGACCCGCAGAGCAACAGCGCUAAUGAGCUUAUCUGCUCCUUCUGGGAUGUAGAGUAAGCACGGGAGUCGACGUAGAUUUUACCAGUAAGUGGUCUUCAUGUGUAAGUCGUGGUUAUCCAAAGUGUUAUUUACUCCUUUUAAGGUUUUUUGGCAUAUUAAAGCAGCUCUUCGCGUCCGUGUUCAUUAUGGUGAGAGGACUGUGGGGUCUGUCAGAUUUCUUCAAUCUUAGAUCAACGUUUGCCAUGGCAGCACACAGAGCUGUGCUGCUCCCGGCUGUCUGCAGUCUGUCGCGGGGCAGUGGGGGUGAGUCAGGCUGCAGCGUGCUGUGCUGUGCCAGGAGGGCGUGAGAUGGGCUCUGGGUUCCAUCGGAGCUGUGCCUGCUUCUCUCUGAGCAAAUCUCUCCCAUAACAGACAGGUGUUGCGUUCUCAGAGUAGCUGAUGAAGUUAUUGCUGUUUGGAAGCAUCCUGUAGCACCAUGCAAGCAAUGUGAUAACUGAAAGAAAAACCACCCUGUAAUAACCUGCUGUGAUACACAUUUGUCAUGAGCUGCAGGAUUACCAGUUUGAGCAACAGUAACGAAUGGUAAUGGUGAUGGUGGGCUUUUAAGUUUUAGUUGCUGGAGUUUGUGGUCCUUUAACUUGGUUGACAGUGAAACAUUGCUUCGUGAGUUCUGUUUGCUCUGGGCCUUCUUGUGGCUGUGGAUUUUUCUUUUUACGUUACACUGAGCGUCAGCCCAGUUAAAUACAAUUCUAAUAGAGCUGUGGCUUCUUGUAACUUCAGACCUGCUGACACUGGUUGCCCUGCUUCUGGGGUUACUUUCUAAAACAUUGUAGCUGCGUAGAGUUAAGGAGCUGAGAAUUAUGUUUUGUGAUGAAUGUGUUUUCUCAAUAUGUGAUAUCAGGUUGUGCUGUGGCAGUGCUGUGGUGGUGGUAUGGGGCAGGAGCUCUGCUGGGCAGGUCUGAGCAUCCGGCAGUGCUCUGCUGGGCCUCCAGCAGGUCAGUAGCCCCAUAAGCUUAGCAGCAAUGUAUGUUAAAUUAUAAUUCUACAUACUUGAUACUUAUCCAGGGCAAUAAUUAGUGGCGGAAAAAUCAGCCCAUUGUUCAGAAAUGCCUGUAGGCAGGGGGCUGUCUUCCUUUUUAACCUCUUCUUUGAAUGAGAGCAGAAGUGGUGGAGUUGAGGUUCAUCAUGCAGACUUGGACUUUUUUUCCAACACGUAGUAAACAAUAGAUGGACAGACAGAACUGUCUGUUGUGAUGUUUUUGUGAAGGGAAGAGAAAUUUGAGUACUGAACACCCUUAAAAGCAAACUGUGACUUAAGUCAGCCUUGAUUUCCAGUGUAGAAGUACAAGAAGCUGCUCUGUUGUCUUCCCACAGGAAGCAGUCAUGCAGCUCUGAGCUGCAGCACUUCUUGGUGCUCAGGGAAAGUUGUGGCUGCUUUCUUCUGGAGUCUUUUCUUGAAAGAAGUGGUUGCAUUCAGACUUAGAGCAUUCAUUAUUGUGAUUGACUUCCUUGUUUAUUAAGAAAGAAGCUUUGAGGCCUGGAUUUCUUUUGGACUUUUUGAUGUAAUUGUUGGUGUGGGUAUGUGUGUGUUUCUGGAGAGGAGGAAGGGUGAAAACUGCACCAAAUUCACCCAGUGUGAGGCAGAGGGAUCCGUUCGGUGGGGCUGAGGAGGGGAGGUGGUUCUCAUCAUGCUUUGCUGCGGGGUGCUGUCAACUUCAGCUUUGCUGGUAUCUUCCCCAACACAACCCGCUUCACCCAAUGAAUGUCCAGUGUGUGGACAUUCAAUCCAGUGGGCCUAUGGAGGUCGUUGUGGUAUGGGCAAAUCUUAGAUAAGUCUGAGGUCCUGUCAGAGAAAAUCCCUUCCUGUGGUGAGUUUAACAAGAUGGCUCUUCCCCAGGUUGUGGGAACCCAUGUGCUUCUAGAAGCUGUUUUCUAUUCCAGUUGUUCAUCUGUUUUAACCUCUGCCUGAAGCCCUGCUGACUCCGGAGCGUUGCUUACAUUGCACACACACGUUUAGCACUUGAGACCACUUCUAAUACUUGCUGCAGAAUGUAUUUGACUUAUUUUCACACACUUAGUUCACUAUUUAUAUGAGUAACCUCUAUUUCAAAGGAGACCUGUAAGAAAUAAGCUAUUUUUAAAAAAAAUUACAUCAUCUUGGAAGCCACCCGGGAUGUCUGCUGUUACAUCUCCAUUUAUUCAGCCUUUUCUUCUCGAAAAAACAUAUGGACAAACUACUUCUGCUCCACAACUUCCACCCCACAGGGUGUCCGCACGGCUCUGGUUUGAGGUCACCGCCCCUCAGAUGCUCGCUGUGUGGGUCGG